rnacentral:sRNA from 1 species
UUUUAGCCCAGAUAGAAACGGAUAUCCUUUUUUAAUGAAAUUAUAGUUUUUCAUAUAAAAAAAGAGCGACCAACGGAAGCUCCUUUUUUUAUAUUAGAAAAACAUAAUUUUAUAAAAAAGAUAGCAGUAAAUAGCUGGAAUAGCU